UACGUAGGGGGCAAGCGUUGUCCGGAAUUAUUGGGCGUAAAGAGCGCGUAGGCGGUCCGAUAAGUCGGCUGUGAAAGUCAGGGGCUCAACCCUUGAAAGCCGGCCGAUACUGUCGGACUAGAGUCCGGAAGAGGCAAGUGGAAUUCCCGGUGUAGCGGUGAAAUGCGCAGAUAUCGGGAAGAACACCCGUGGCGAAGGCGGCUCUCUGGGACGGUACUGACGCUGAGACGCGAAAGCGUGGGGAGCGAACAGG
rnacentral:rRNA from 1 species